UGCUGGGAUUACAGGAGUGAGCCACCGCGCCCCGCCAGAAGUGCAAACAAUUGUUAUUCAAAAUUAAAGCAAAGCCUGAAGUAGGCUGUAGAAGGUGUCCUAUCCAUAUUCUGCGUUUCUGCAUGAUGCUACACAGACAACCUCUGAUAGCCAUCCUAUUGACACUGAAGUCAUCAUGAAAUUGUUCCCUUCCUCGGCAUUUAAACUGUUUAAACUGAGCAGUUAAAGGACUUUUGUGAUUCUGUUGUCAUUCGAUAUUCUUCUAUUCUUCAUUCUUCAAUUCUCUCUUUCAUUCUCUAGCACUCAGAAAUUUGUUGGAACCCCCAGUUUCAACUACAACAUGCAAACGGCUUGGAAGUAGUCACCCCUAUCCUUAUAAGAAAAAGCUAGUCAAGCUGAAAAGCAGUGACUUUUAUCUUUCUGAGAACUGAAGUCACAACUGUGAAAUCUGGAGAGACGGGUGUAUCCAGAGACACAGCUGAGAUCUGUUUACUUGGAGCCCACUGGAGCCAAAACUGGUCGGAAAACUAACAGGUUCCACUAGAGGAGAGUAAGUGCCAGUGUUCCGCCAACUCAGGAACUGACCAGACCCUGCAGGCACAGUGAGAAGACUCCCGGGAGAAAACUCAGGAGUAAAAAUGGAGAUAGUAAUACUUCCCACUGAAACUACCAUAAACAUCCAGAAAAUGGAGCAGGAAAACACAGCCCAGGGAUCAGAAAAGCCCUCAGUCCAGUCAGUUAAACCUUGGAGUGACCAGGAAAUCCGGAGUUUCCUGCAAGAAUGGGAAUUUCUUGAACGUGAGGUGUACAGGGUGAAGAAGAAGUAUCACAUAGUAUCAAAAGCAAUUGCUCAGCGUCUCAAGCAGAGGGGUAUCAACAAGAGCUGGAAGGAAUGUCUCCAGAUGCUAAUAAGCUUGCAGGACUUAUACUUCACUAUUCAGGAGGCCAACCAGAGGCCAAGGUGCCAACCCUUGCCAUGUCCUUAUGGUGAGGCCCUGCACAGGAUUCUGGGGUACAGAUGGAAGAUCAGCGUCUUCUCAGGUCCUCCCUGUGCAGAUGUGGUUAACCUCGCACCUCCCGAGCACCCGCCCCAGGCCUAUGGCGUUCCCAUAGUCUUUCAGGAGCCGAUGUGGGCCCCAACACCUGUGAUCUAUGUGGAAAAUCCUCAGUGUUCCACUGGGUGGAUGUAGAAGAAGCUGUUGAACCCUUCGCCCAGUGGAUGACAUCCGGGAUGUUUCCAGUUUGGACUAUUAAACUGCCAAACUCUUUACCAGAUGGCCGUGUCAUUCUACAUCCCCACCAGCAAUGUAUGAGUGAACCAGUUUCUCCAUAUCCUCACCAGCAUUUUGUUUUGUCACUAUUCAUUAAAAGGCGAAUAGAAUGGCCUUCAGAGUGUCCAUCGCAGAGGGCCUUAGCAGAGCUUAGAAUGAUGGGACUGGCCUCUGCCCAGGGCCCCUCUGCACAGCAUGACAAAGCGGUGAUAUCUACUUAUGGCUUCCAUUUUCAGUUCCCUGGCGGCUGAUGAUACGGAGCAUGUUGUAUGCCUAUUUGCCAUCUGCAUAUCCUCUGCAGUGACAUGGCUCUUCAUGGUUUUGGCCAUUUUCUAAUUGGAUUUUUGUUUUUACUGUUAUUAUUUGAGAGUUUUUUAAAAUAUAUUCUAGAUAUUCGUUUUAUGGGAUAUGGGUGUUGCAGAUACUUUCUCCCUGUUUGUAGCUUGUCUUUUCAUGCCCUUCUUAUGGGCUUUCACAGAGAAAAGACUUUGUGAGGUACAAUUUACCAACAUUUUAAU